CGACUCUCGGCAACGGAUAUCUCGGCUCACGCAUCGAUGAAGAACGUAGCAAAAUGCGAUACUUGGUGUGAAUUGCAGAAUCCCGUGAACCAUCGAGUUUUUGAACGCAAGUUGCGCCCAAAGCCAUCCGGCUGAGGGCACGCCUGCCUGGGCGUCACGCAUC
rnacentral:rRNA from 1 species